AACGAACGCUGGCGGCGUGCCUAACACAUGCAAGUCGAGCGCGAAAAGGGCAACCUGAGUAGAGCGGCGCACGGGUGCGUAACACGUGAAUAAUCUGCCUUUGAGUUUGGGAUAACCUUCCGAAAGGUCGGCUAAUACCGAAUAAGCUCACGGGGGCUUCGGCCCCUGGGGGAAAAGUAGGCCACUGUUUACAAGCUUACACUCGAAGAUGAGUUCGCGGCCCAUCAGCUAGUUGGCGGGGUAACGGCCCACCAAGGCGACGACGGGUAGCUGGUCUGAGAGGACGAUCAGCCACACUGGAACUGAGACACGGUCCAGACUCCUACGGGAGGCAGCAGUGGGGAAUUUUCCACAAUGGGCGAAAGCCUGAUGGAGCAACGCCGCGUGUGUGAUGAAGGUCUUCGGAUUGUAAAGCACUUUCGACCGGGACGAAAAAGCCGUGGCUAACAUCCACGGCCCUGACGGUACCGGGAGAAGAAGCACCGGCUAACUCUGUGCCAGCAGCCGCGGUAAUACAGAGGGUGCAAGCGUUGUUCGGAAUUAUUGGGCGUAAAGCGCGUGUAGGCGGCCUAUCAAGUCAGAUGUGAAAGCCCUCGGCUUAACCGAGGAAGUGCGUCUGAAACUGAUGGGCUUGAGUGCCGGAGAGGAUGGCGGAAUUCCGCAAGUAGAGGUGAAAUUCGUAGAUAUGCGGAGGAACACCGGUGGCGAAGGCGGCCAUCUGGACGGCAACUGACGCUGAGACGCGAAAGCGUGGGGAGCAAACAGGAUUAGAUACCCUGGUAGUCCACGCCGUAAACGAUGAGAACUAGGUGUCGUGGGUGUUGACCCCCGCGGUGCCGCAGCUAACGCAUUAAGUUCUCCGCCUGGGAAGUACGGCCGCAAGGUUA
rnacentral:rRNA from 1 species